CGAAAGCCUGACGGAGCAAUACCGCGUGAGGGAUGACUGCCUAUGGGUUGUAAACCUCUUUUUUCAGGGAGGAACACAAUGACGUGUACCUGAAGAAUAAGCAUCGGCUAACUCCGUGCCAGCAGCCGCGGUAAGACGGAGGAUGCAAGUGUUAUCAGGAAUCACUGGGCGUAAAGCGUCUGUAGGUGGUUUAAUAAGUCAACUGUUAAAUCUUGAGGCUUAACCUCAAAAUCGCAGUCGAAACUAUUAGACUAGAGUAUAGUAGGGGUAAAGGGAAUUUCCAGUGGAGCGGUGAAAUGCGUAGAUAUUGGAAAGAACACCGAUGGCGAAGGCACUUUACUGGGCUAUUACUGACACUCAGAGACGAAAGCUAGGGUAGCAAAUG
rnacentral:rRNA from 1 species